UCUAAUGAUUAUAGCGAUCCAAUAGAUAAGAAUACGUGCAUUUUCAUUGAUACCAGUGAUUGAUAACGUAAUAAUGGGUAAUAAACUUAAUAACACAGCAUUUUGUUGUAGUGGUAAUACUGUAGACAAUUGAUUAUUAUUCAAAUUUCAAAAACAACAUCAUUCUAAAAUUCUAAAAUAGGUAUAAAUGUAUAAUAAGGUACUUUCUUAUAUUAUUAUUUAUUAUUGUUCAUUAAAAUAUUGACUAUUGAGUACUUUUACUCUAGUAUAAUAUAAUAUUGUCGUGAAUCUAGUCUCCGUGCAUGAUUCUAUAACAGAUUAUCAAGAUUUUCAAGGAAGAAAAUAAUACGUAUCGAUACGUAUCGGGUCAAUUUUGAGCGUUCAAGAAGUUACACGUGAAAUAUACUAGCGAUACGUACCGACUCGUAUCGGACUCAGACUUCGAUACGAGGCGGUACGUAACUAUUCUCUGUCGUCCUGUCGAUACGUAACGCAUUUUUCUUCUUGAAAACCUUGUAUAUUUCCGUCUGUUCUGUAUUUUGUCUACAUCGUUAUUAUAUCUGUCCGCAACUCUAAUCGACAAUAUUAUUAAUUUUCGUCUACGCAUAGUCGAUACUCCAAAUAAUUGGUUUAAAAAUUGAAAACGGUUUAUUAAUCAUCGUUAUAAAUUUAAAAAAAUGAUACUUUAAACAAUGAUUUGUCAUCAUAUUAUGUUGUAUUCACUAUUCAGUAUUAUGAUACUUAUUACUUAAUGACUUGCAUCUGUUCUACGUUUCUAUGUGGUGUACGGUUAUUGCAUUUUUUACUACACAAUAAUUAUUAAACUUACUAACUAUUUUCAAGUUUACAACUAGCUAUGGUUUAAAUUGUAUCAAGAGUUCCAAUGAAUGUUUUCGUUUACGUUCAAAAUUAUGUACAAUUAUGAUUUUGAAUAUAUAUUGGACGAUGUUAUAUAAUAGUAUAGUAUAUGUAUGGGAAACAGUGUAGUGCGGCACUAUAUCUAAUCGGAAGAGGUUGAAGAAUGAGAACGACAACGAUCUAAAAGUUGAUGUAGAUUGCAUAGCUUGAAUCUAAAGGAUUAAACAGUUCUGAUGUAGAUCUAAAGAACAGUUGUCAGAUUUGUGAUGUGAUUUUUAUGUUUUUAUGUAUGUUCCAUGUCUUGAACAUAGAAGCCACAACUCUUACACAAACAUAUUUUGUAUGCAAUAAGAGGAAUUAUAUGGCAUCCAACCAGUAACUGGUCAAUUUUACUAAGUUGAAAUAGUUGAAUUAAUCCAAACAUUGUGGAUGAGCGGGUUACAGUCAAUAAAUGCAUAUUAGUUAAUCAUAAUCAAUUUGUCAAUAUUAAUUAAUUUAUAUUUUCUUGAAAUCUUCAAAUAUUUUCAACCACUAAAUCUUUAAUUUGAUAUUCAUAUCUAUGUUUCUCUCUGAUAAAGCUUAACAUAGGUUCUAAGUGCAGACUAAGAUAUAGUCCUAAGUUAUUUGCUAUACUAUUUAUUCUGCUUUAAAAAAAAAGUAUACUGUACAAUUGCAUAAAAAACAAUAUUUUCAGGUUUCUUGCAUAUUAUAUAUUGUAUUUUAAAGAAUUUAUGAAAAUAUUUAAAAAAAUAUUUUAUGGUAUAUUAUAAUAAUAAUAUUUUUUCCAAAACCAUCCUGUAGCACCAAUAGAUAUGUACCUGCCAGCAUUAGUUGAAUAUUAAAACAAUUAAAAAUUGUGGGCUUGUUGCAAAACUUCAGAUUAAAAAAAGCAAAAUUGAUUGAUAUCUGUCCACGCUAGAAGAGAGAGGAAUGUAAUUAUUUCAUGAUACAUGCAUAAAAAUCAAAAUAUAUUAUGCUCAAUGUGGUGUUGAAAAGCAACAGAUGAAAUAUUUGUCAUUCUUAAUUAAAAACGAAUAAACCAAAGACUGAUUCAUAAAAAUAGGAUCAACCAGUCAAUUCUGUGUGCAAGUUGGCCAUAGACAACUUUAUGGUAAAUAUAAUAGUUAAGAUGAAAAGUACUACUUAAUAAAGUACCUACUUGAAAAAAAUUUUCAUACUAUUUUUAUUAUCUUUCCUGUCUUUUAUACUAUUAGUUUGAAAUAUAUUUUUUUUAAGUAAGAGUUAAUUGAAAAAGGAAAUUUCUGAUGUAUAAGUAUAUUCUAUAAUAUUUUAAAUAUUUUUAAAUAUUUUAUAUGUAUAGUUACUAUACAUACUAUACUAUAGUAUUUGGUGUAUAAUAA